rnacentral:tRNA from 1 species
GGUAGCAUGGCCGAGCGGUCUAAGGCGCUGGUUUAAGGCAACAGUCAUUUCGAUUGCGUGGGUCCGAAUCCCACUGCUGCCA